GAUGAAGAACGUAGCGAAAUGCGAUAAGUAAUGUGAUUUGCAGAAUUCAGUGAAUCAUCGAAUCUUUGAACGCACAUUGCGCCCGUCAGUAUUCUGGCGGGCAUGCCUGUUCGAGCGUCAUUACGCCCCUCAAGUCCCCUGUGGACUUGGUGUUGGGGAUCGGCGAGGCUGGUUUUCCAGCACAGCCGUCCCUUAAAUUAAUUGGCGGUCUCGCCGUGGCCCUCCUCUGCGCAGUAGUAAAACACUCGCAACAGGAGCCCGGCGCGGUCCACUGCCGUAAAACCCCCCAACUUUUUAUAGUUGACCUCGAAUCAGGUAGGACUACCCGCUGAACUUAAGCAUAUCAAUAAGCGGAGGA
rnacentral:misc_RNA from 1 species